CACCAGUCUCAGGGUCACACCUGGAGAGUUUCCAGUACUCUACCAGUCUAGACUAUAGGAGGGAGAGUCAAGCAGAAGCAUACCCAUUCCAUUCCUAGCUUGGGCAGUGGCUGGCGAGUGGAAGGCAAUCUGCUACAAGU